GCUCGAUUAAUUCAGUCGGUAGAAUGUCAGGCUUUUACUAGUCGAACCUCUUAUAUCCCAUAUAUGGGGUUUCUUAUGCUGGAUAACCUGAAAGUCACGGGAUCGAGACCCGUAUCGAGCU